CACUGCCGAGAAAAGCCUCUAGAUAGAAAAUAGGUGCCCGUACCGCAAACCGACACAGGUAGUCAAGAUGAGAAUUCUAAGGUGAGCGAGCGAACUCUCGUUAAGGAACUCGGCAAAAUGACCCCGUAACUUCGGGAGAAGGGGUGCUCUUUAGGGUUAACGCCCAGAAGAGCCGCAGUGAAUAGGCCCAAGCGACUGUUUAUCAAAAACACAGGUCUCUGCUAAACCGUAAGGUGAUGUAUAGGGGCUGACGCCUGCCCGGUGCUGGAAGGUUAAGAGGAGUGGUUAGCUUCUGCGAAGCUACGAAUCGAAGCCCCAGUAAACGGCGGCCGUAACUAUAACGGUCCUAAGGUAGCGAAAUUCCUUGUCGGGUAAGUUCCGACCCGCACGAAAGGCGUAACGAUUUGGGCACUGUCUCAACGAGAGACUCGGUGAAAUCAUAGUACCUGUGAAGAUGCAGGUUACCCGCGACAGGACGGAAAGACCCCGUGGAGCUUUACUGUAGCCUGAUAUUGAAAUUCGGCACAGCUUGUACAGGAUAGGUAGGAGCCUUUGAAACGUGAGCGCUAGCUUACGUGGAGGCGCUGG
rnacentral:rRNA from 1 species